UAAUUUCUCUCUUCUGCCGUUU
rnacentral:sRNA from 1 species